CUUAGAUGAAAUCUCCUUUCUUCCAGCCUAAAUGUGUGACCUUGUGUCCUAUGUAUAGCCCUGUUUAUGAAUAGAUUUCCAGAUAAAGGUUUGUACUGGCCCCAAAUAUAUUUGUAUAAAGUUAUCAUAUCCCCUCUCAGGCACCGUUUUUCCAAACUAAACAGAUUUAAUUUUUUUAACCUUUCUUCAUAACUAAAAUGCUCCAUUCCUUUUAUCAAUUUUGUAGCUCGUCUCUGGACCCUCUCCAGUUGUAUUAGUUGAUUAGUUGUGGUCAGGGACAAUAAGUCAAGUUAUAGUAGUGGUGUUCAAGUCGGUUUUGGUGUCCCGAAACCGAUGUUCAAGUAGGCCUGUAAAAGAGGGCCAACCAAUUGAAUAGCUUAAUAAAGGGAGCGGUGGGAGGGCUGAACCAGUCGUUCUCAGCCCAGAGUAAGGGGAGGCCUGUGAUUCUAUAGGUCGGGUAAUCUCUCCCAAAACUACGGCUCCGCCUACCGGCCUAUCACUUUAAAUAUCAAUCAACUUGUAAUGUAUUUAUAAUAUAUCAAUUGAUAUGCAAUGUCUAAAAGAAAUGAAACAAAUAUGAAGAAUAAACUGCUACCUGUGUAUUAGUAGUUCCAAUGUGGUGUAUACUCUGGCAAA